rnacentral:lncRNA from 1 species
CCACAAUUACGAUGCCGUUCGAAUCGGAACAGAAACAUUUGCGAAAUAAAUCGUUGGAUUUGCGAGAAACAAAACUGAAAGCUAACCGCCGGGCGCGAGAGUAACAAAACACGAUUGUCCUUCCCUGCUACCCGUAGAUCCGCUAAGGUGUUGAAGAGAUGCGCGGCGCACCAGCGCGCAGAUGGGAACACAAACUGAUCUGUUUAUAACAAACGGUGUCGAAAACAGUUUGGGUAGCAGUAAUUUAAGUCUUUUUUUGGGAGAAUGCACCGCAUCCCGGCGGGGGCUGCAGCCGCUGCUGCCCUCCUGAAAGGAGGAAGACCCAACAAGCGGAUCCUUGUUUACGACUGCCGCGAUGAGGAAGAUGUGGCGAGUAAAGUUCUGGAAACCAGGGGUUUGGACUUCCAUGGGUUCCUCCAAAUCCUCCACAAGGCUGAAGGCUCCUCCUCUUCAGCCUUUGAUUGGCUGGGGGGGAUGUGAUUGACGGGGAGGAGGGACUCUGACGGCGUCCCUAUACCCUCUAACAUCUCUGACACUUUCAACACAUGCAAACCUAUGUGCUAAGGAUGCAACAAUUCACUUUCCCCACAAUCUGGUUUAGUGGUGUAACAAAGUUCCCUUUUCAUCUUUGUGUGUGCUGGAGUCUGUGCUCUGGUAAAUGUCUGUGUGUCAGAUAAAUGCAUCUAGACAUUAAAGAAAAACACAAUUAUAAACAACAAACCACAACAAGAAUCAAGUUUCUCAUGCACGAGGGAGAGGAGCAAAUGUGUUGGAAAAGGUCCACCACGUUUCUCUUCUCAAAGGUCUGCCUCCCCUCGUGCUGCUUUUAUUAAGAACACAAGAAGGAGGUAACAUUUUCAAGAAAAAGAGAAAAAGUUCAUUAAGGGGUGUCGUCAAAUGACCCUUUUGGUUGGAUUCUAAGUUCAAACAGUAUCCCUUAUCAGCUAAGGACAGUGUGUCGUAAAACCCCCUCUCUUCCUUGCUGGGGAUGAGAAGCAGAUGAACAAACACACAACUGUUUUCAGAAGAGGUAAAAAGGUCAAUCUGAGUUAACAUACAUUUAACCAAAUACAUUUAGGCAAUGAUAAUAAUAAAACAAUUUCCUUCACUGUGAUAACCUCAGAGAGAUCUGUCACUUCAAGCUCCCUGACCUUUGAACAUCUAGCCUGCAACGACCUGUGGGUGGGAUUUUCACACCAGGGUCCAUCGGAUGAUCUUCUGAAUAUGCAAAUUAGGCCUGCACAAUAUACCGCAAAUUUAUCGUUAUCGCGACAUUAAGCUGUGCAAUAUGCAUACCGCAAAAGAUGGCAAAAAUCGCAAUAAAUGAUUACCUUAAAUGUGCUAAAACAAACUCAUGGCAGCUUGAAAUAUUGAAGAAAUGAAAUAAAUCCCUUUAUGCAUUUAACCUAUCAGAAGGACCCGUUUACGUUUUUGAUCAAUCAGAUGAGCCCUUUUAUGUUUAAUGUUUGCCUCCUACGUCGACAAGGGUCAUUCGGAGUAUAAUUUUUAAACUGUUGCAGUGAAAUGGAAAUGAUGUUUUUGUUUUUUUUGCUAUUUGUUUAUAUACCGCAAUUUAUAUCGUUAUCGCAAUAUUAAUUACCAAUAUCGCAUAUCGCGAGUUUUCCUCAUAUCGUGCAGCCCUUAUGCAAAUGCAGGGUUUAUAUACCAAGCCCAUUUUCCUGUUUUCUUUGUUUGGACUUUGGAUGCAGCUGCCUGUUCAUCUGUCUGUAACCCUUCGUACAAAAUGUCUGUGCUGUUUGUAUGAAGUAAAACUUUCACAAAGCUAAGUAUUGUCUCUCAGUCAUCAUUCAUUCAUUUCUGUGUGCAGGAAACUGAAAGGGAACGAAAAAACCUAAUUUACCUAUUUUACAGUCCUCUUUACAAUUUCCCGUUUCCUCACGAUGUUCUAUAGGUGUUUUGUAGACGGAAAACAGGCAAACCAGUAGGAUAUGCGGGCCACAUGAACUAUCAAGGUUUCAAACUGCUUGGUGAGCCCGUAGAGCGAAAAUGUUCUGUCACAUUUUUUUACUGGGAUGUUGCAAGCGACAGGUUGUAGCGAAUACUUAAAUAACAUGCAAGGUUAAGUAAUCCUGCAGACGCCGCAAGGGCCUCGUUGGUUCCAUUCAUGUGAUGAGUGCACGCUCCUCCUUGCUUGCAGCCCGACUGUUUGAAUCUAGUUAAUUGACAAUCUGAGCCUAGUUAGUGGGCAUAUCCUAAGGGUGUUCUACGAGCAUUUACAUAUCACGUGCAGCAUUUACGUGCAGUGAAUAAGAGG